UGGGGAAUAUUGGACAAUGGGGGCAACCCUGAUCCAGCAAUGCCGCGUGAGUGAAGAAGGCCUUCGGGUUGUAAAACUCUUUUGUUAGGGACGAUGAUGACGGUACCUAACGAAUAAGCCCCGGCUAACUUCGUGCCAGCAGCCGCGGUAAUACGAAGGGGGCUAGCGUUGUUCGGAAUGACUGGGCGUAAAGGGUGUGUAGGCGGUUAUACACGUCAGAUGUGAAAUCCCCGGGCUUAACCUGGGAAUGGCAUUUGAUACGGUAUAGCUAGAGGUUGGUAGAGGGUAGUGGAAUUGCGAGUGUAGAGGUGAAAUUCGUAGAGAUUCGCAGGAACACCGGUGGCGAAGGCGGCUACCUGGGCCAAAACUGACGCUGAGGCACGAAAGCGUGGGGAGCAAACAG
rnacentral:rRNA from 1 species